UCUCUAUUGAAUGGGAGCGAAAUAACGCAUCUAGCAUCAAGUUCCUAACGUCGCUCAGCAGAAACAAAUGGGAACGGACGGAGGUGUGAAACAGAAAGGAUAUUGUCUGGAAUGUUUAUGAGGAAAAGAAGGUACUCAGGCUAGACCCCGGCAAUGGAGGAACAGCAAGAAAACAGAAGAAGGUGAAAGUAUCCAAAGAAGGGUUCUUUUGAAGACCCUGACCUGGAGUUACACUCUGACUUCGGUUAUUUGCGGGAAAUGGGACCCGCUGUCAUGGCCUCACGACCGGCCAUUUUUUGAUUUGCCAAGGACACAGCCUGGAAGACCAGCGCGCCCUCAGGAUGCUGGAUUUUCAUGGCUCUGGAGGUGGGCAGAUUCCAGGUUCGUGCUGCCGCAGAAAAUUGAUGCAUCAUGGGAGACGGAAGAUCGAAAGCAGCGAGCUGGCUGGUGGCUGUGUGCCCAGAGACUCGAGGUCAUUGGACACAGAGCUCGGAAAAAGCGACACAACAGAACUUUAACACCAUAAAUCAGCGAGUUGUUUUGUUAUGUCUCUCUUCUCGCUGUGAAAAAGGGACAUAUCUUUUUCCCUCACUAUGGAGAGAGAGCCUGUGGUAUUACCAGUGUUCUUUUGAAGACCUGACCUGGAGUUACACACUAACUUCAGUUCUUAGCAGGGUCUCAUGACUGGCUGCUAUUCAACAUACCAAGGAAGCGGCCUAGAAGACUAGCACGCCUUCAGGGUUAUGGGAUUUCGUGGCUCUGGAGGCAGGUGGACUUGAGUUCAGUGCCUUUGCAGGAAAUCAGUGCAUCAUGGGAGAUGGAAGAUCGAAAGCAGCAAGCUGGCUGCUGGCUGUGUGCCCAAAGAACUGAAUUCUUUAGGCACAGAGCUCAGAAAAAGUGACGCGACGAACUUUUAACAUCGUAAAUCAGUGAGUUGUUUGUAAUGUCUCCCCUCUCACUGUGAAAUGGAGACAUCUCUUUUGGCUUAUUAGCUGAGAGAGAGAGAGAGCCUGUGGUAUGUUGAAUUACUUGGUGAACAAAUAGUCUUUGGGGUACUGCGAGUCUAUGUCUUUACUGAUGCUUUGCUGCACGCCUGAGUGCUCGGUGGGGAGCGCUGAUGCUUUUUUGCUGGUGGGAGAGGGGGAUCAUUGC